AGAGUUUGAUCCUGGCUCAGGAUGAACGCUAGCUACAGGCUUAACACAUGCAAGUCGAGGGGCAGCAUUUUUAGUUUGCUUUGCAAACUAAAGAUGGCGACCGGCGCACGGGUGAGUAACACGUAUCCAACCUGCCGAUAACUCGGGGAUAGCCUUUCGAAAGAAAGAUUAAUAUCCGAUAGUAUAUUAAAACCGCAUGGUUUUACUAUUAAAGAAUUUCGGUUAUCGAUGGGGAUGCGUUCCAUUAGUUUGUUGGCGGGGUAACGGCCCAGUCAAGACUACGAUGGAUAGGGGUUCUGAGUAGGAAGGUCCCCCGACAUUGGAACUUGACGACACGGUCCAAAACUCCGUACGGGAGCA
rnacentral:rRNA from 1 species